rnacentral:tRNA from 1 species
GGACUGUAGCUCAGUGGUAGAGUGCCUGCCUUGCACGUGUGGGGAACUGGGUUUGAUCCUCAGCACCA